rnacentral:rRNA from 1 species
UACAGAGGUCUCAAGCGUUUGUUCGGAAUCACUGGGCGUAAAGGGUGCGUAGGCCGCACGGUAAGUCAGAGGUGAAAUCCCGGAGCUCAACUCCGGAAUGGCCUCCGAUACUGCCGUGCUCGAGGACUGGAGAGGAGUCUGGAAUUCACAGUGGAGCAGUGAAAUGCGUGGAUAUUGUGAGGAACACUAGUGGCGAAGGCGAGACUCUGGACAGUUCCUGACGCUGAGGCACGAAGGCCAGGGGAGCAAAACGGG